GGGUCCGGACACACUGAGGAUUGACAGGCGCUUGUAGUUAUGAGAUUAUUAAUUUAUUAAUAAUUAAAUUUCUGCUAUAAAUAUGCUAGUCCUUUCAUGAUUGUGUGAUAGGUGGUGCAUGGCCGUUCUUAGUUCGUGGAGUGAUCUGUCUGCUUAAUUGCGUUUCACUGUGGACAUUGUUAUAAUAGUGUGUGCACGCAUAACUUCGGUUAUGUUGUUGCCUACUGUUCCAAAUGUCCUGAAGGCAACGAACGUGACCGCAACCUCUUGUUGCCUCUUCCAAAUACUUAUUUUAUUAUCUUUUUUGAUAAUUGAGAUCGGUUUAUAGAGGCUAACUAGAGGGACCGCUGACAACUUUUAAAACAGAGGAAGGUUGCGGCAAUAACAGGUCUGUGAUGCCCUUAGAUGUUCCGGGCUGCACACGUGCUACAAUGAUUAUUGCACUGAGCAUCUAAUUUUAUUAAAAGUUCGUUUGGUUUAAUUUGAUCUUAACAGAUUAAAUAAAACUAACGACAUUUCCUACUUCGAAAGUAAGUAGGU
rnacentral:rRNA from 1 species